rnacentral:misc_RNA from 1 species
AGCGAUCAUCGUUGGCAGACUCAGCGUGUUCUUGAUCUAAGAAGCGUUUGUGGACACAAACGAUUUGGAGCUACCACAUGUGUGAUGGGAUGUCAGCCUUCCGUGGGCUCCUUCUUCUUCUUCUUCUGUCAGGUUUCGUGGCUUUCCACGAGCUUGAAGCGUUGAAGAUUACUCGACUGUCCGUUCCCCGAUGGAUAGAAAAUGGAACCUUAGAGUCUGUCACUUUGGACUGUGAAUACAGUCUCACGGAUAAAGACAACCGCCUUGUUGUCAAAUGGUUUUUUAACGAUGAUCCCAAACCCAUAUACCAGUGGAUUCCAGAACUUGGUUCCCGGCUGGUUUCAGAAAAGCUACAAGGACGUAUUGACAUGAACUUCUCCGUCACUCCAUCCAGCAAGUUCACUGAAUUCAGAAAUCUCCGAAUCCUGAAACCGACGUCCCAGCUUAGUGGCAAGUACUCCUGUCAUGUAGCAUCUUUCAAUGGAAUUGACACAGCAGAAGGAGAAAUGACCGUUUACGCUCCAGCUAAACUUCUUCGCUUCAAUUACACCAAAACGAAGUCCGACCGAGCUAAGUUUAGUUGUGAAGUGGGUCAUGUUUACCCAGUGCCAGACAUCAGCGUAUAUAAAAUAUCACCAGGGGAAAGCGAACCCACCAUCAUAACAGACGGAGUAGCAAAAGUUUCUGAUCAAGACGACAGUUAUAGAGUACUAGUAACUUAUGAGGUAAAAGACAGUGAGCUUAAACCAGAUGGCGCCACACGGUUUGAGUGUCUUAUCCUCUUUCCCGGAACAGACUAUAAGAGAUAUAGCAGCAUAACCUAUUAUCCAGGUGGCGCUGCACGAACCGUAGCAAAUGUUCAGUAUUUUGGAGAUCAGUCACCAAGUGGCAGCCAGAGCAUUUCAACCUACUUAGGCAUGAUCUUUUUAAACGUGGCACUCGUUUUUGGGGGGACGAAUAGGUUACUUUUGGGGCAAUUCUAACCUGCCAAUUUUGUAGAGUUCCCAAUGUUAUCUUCUAAUAAGAUUAUUAGUACCAUGCUUUAUUCUGUCACCAAAGCCAUGAAUCUCAUCCUGGACUAGGGACCACAUAUAAGUCCUGGUACUACGUUGGGUAAAGCUGAUAAUCAGACGUCUCAGACACGAAACGAUUAAGAAAUUUAUCAUCCAUCGCAUUCUUUGUAUUUUCUUUGAGAACCGAGCAGAAAAAGCGGCAAUUCUGUCGUUAGAAAAUCAACUAUUUUGUACUAAACACUUUGGAUGUAUUUAUGC